rnacentral:tRNA from 1 species
GAGGCUGUGGCGCAGUCAGGUAGCGCAUCGCUCUGAUAAGGCGGGGGUCCCAGGUUCAAAUCCUGGCAGCCUCA